rnacentral:sRNA from 1 species
UAUUGGUACACUGUGAUGAGUAAAAAA